AUUGAACGCUGGCGGCAUGCCUUACACAUGCAAGUCGAACGGUAACAGGUCUUCGGAUGCUGACGAGUGGCGAACGGGUGAGUAAUACAUCGGAACGUGCCCGAUCGUGGGGGAUAACGCAGCGAAAGCUGUGCUAAUACCGCAUACGAUCUACGGAUGAAAGCAGGGGACCGCAAGGCCUUGCGCGGACGGAGCGGCCGAUGGCAGAUUAGGUAGUUGGUGGGAUAAAAGCUUACCAAGCCGACGAUCUGUAGCUGGUCUGAGAGGACGACCAGCCACACUGGGACUGAGACACGGCCCAGACUCCUACGGGAGGCAGCAGUGGGGAAUUUUGGACAAUGGGCGCAAGCCUGAUCCAGCCAUGCCGCGUGCAGGAUGAAGGCCUUCGGGUUGUAAACUGCUUUUGUACGGAACGAAAAGACUCUUUCUAAUAAAGAGGGUCCAUGACGGUACCGUAAGAAUAAGCACCGGCUAACUACGUG
rnacentral:rRNA from 1 species